rnacentral:misc_RNA from 1 species
UUUCCGUAGGUGAACCUGCGGAAGGACCAUUAUUGCAUAACCGAGGACCGAGGUCUGCCGCUGAUCCGACAGGUCGUGCACGCCAGAGUGGCCUCGCCCACAUCCAUCUCACCCCUAUGUGCACCACCGCCUGGGUCCCCCUUUGGCUUGUUCGGCGGGGCGCUUACGUCUUCACACAAACUUUGUAUGCAGUGUAGAAUGUAUUUUGUGUCUUUGCGUCCACGCACUCAAGACAACUUUCAACAACGGAUCUCUUGGCUCUC